AGAGUUUGAUCCUGGCUCAGGAUGAACGCUAGCGACAGGCUUAACACAUGCAAGUCGAGGGGCAGCGGGGGAUGCGUUCGCGCAUUCUGCCGGCGACCGGCGCACGGGUGAGUAACACGUAUGCAACCUGCCCCGUCCAGGGGGAUAAUCGGCGGAAACGCCGUCUAAUACCGCGUAUAUCGGUACCGGGCAUCCGGGAUUGAAGAAAGGGCCUUAGGGUCCGGGACGGGAUGGGCAUGCGGCGCAUUAGGAAGUUGGCGGUGUAACGGACCACCAAUCCGUCGAUGCGUAGGGGUUCUGAGAGGAAGGCCCCCCACACUGGUACUGAGACACGGACCAGACUCCUACGGGAGGCAGCAGUGAGGAAUAUUGGUCAAUGGGCGGGAGCCUGAACCAGCCAAGUCGCGUGAGGGAAGAAGGUACUGAGUAUUGUAAACCUCUUUUGCCAGGGGACAAAGGCGGCCACGGGUGGCCGUAAGAGGGUACCUGGAGAAAAAGCAUCGGCUAACUCCGUGCCAGCAGCCGCGGUAAUACGGAGGAUGCGAGCGUUAUCCGGAUUUAUUGGGUUUAAAGGGUGCGCAGGCGGCGCGUCAAGUCAGCGGUAAAAUGUCGGGGCUCAACCCCGGCCGGCCGUUGAAACUGGCGUGCUCGAGUUGGAGAGAAGUAUGCGGAAUUCGUGGUGUAGCGGUGAAAUGCAUAGAUAUCACGAAGAACCCCGAUUGCGAAGGCAGCAUACCGGCUCCACACUGACGCUGAGGCACGAAAGCGUGGGUAUCGAACAGGAUUAGAUACCCUGGUAGUCCACGCAGUAAACGAUGAA
rnacentral:rRNA from 1 species